AAUCAAUAAUAAAAUAAUAGUAUUAAUUAAUUUUGCCUCAAAUGGUAAUCCACCUUUUACACUGGCGGAUCAUUUUGACUUUUUCUUUUAAAUUUUUCAGUCAUGUUAUUGUUAACAAAACGGCAGUUUCUUGGAAAUUCAGCAGAAAAUCCACUAAAUUAUUUAAGCCAUUCAAUUCAACGAUCAAAAUCUCAUCUCCAAUCAACAGUUUUAUCAAAUCAAAGUAUUUCAUACAUUAUUUAGGAAAUAGUGUUUAAGUUUUGAAGGUGCGUGAAGAAAUGAUAACUCGUUCUAAACUCGUGGAGCAACUCAGAGACUACCAGAUCCGAUCUCAACACAAGUGUCCAGCUCUCACUGUCUUCUCUCCUAAACCUCUUCUCUCAACAUGGGGUGAUGUUGCUGUAGCUGUCUUUUGGGCCUUAUUGUUUAGCAUGCUUGUCAUAUCAUCCUAUGUGGCUUUUUACUUUAGGCACUUAUGGAUUUCAUUCUUCAUUUUGUGCCUUGGUAUUUUCCUUCUGCUACACCUAAGAAGUUAUAGGCAGGCAAAUGCGAGGAAGAGGGAUAGGAGAUUGUUAUUACCUUUGUCCAUGUGAACCAUCUAUUUUAGUAAAGGUACUUGCAGCUAUAUGACUAGGCUAACUCACUUUAAUUCAUGUGGCCUCUUCUAAUCAAUUAUAGAGCAUGGAGCGCUAAUCUUGGUUAAUGGGCCCUAAAGCACCUCUCUGACACGGGUGGUACUGUUCCUCCCACUCCUCCUUAACCAUACACUGAAGGCAUGAGGAUUUGCAAACCUCCCAUUUCUGACAUGUACUUGAGCCAACUUAAGAACCUGUUAGUUUUUUCGUAUCAUUGGCUUGUAGAUUUCAAUCAGGUUCAAUAAUUUUGUCUAUCUACUGUUCCAGGUUGAGCUUUAUUUCUUCAGAUUUGAGCUGAAGGAGGUGUAACCAACUAUCAGAUUAAAAUAAAAUCUUAAAAUCUUUAUGAUGAUUAAAA